GACGAACGAGGGAGGCGUGCUUAACACAUGCAAGUCGAACGGAAAGGCCCUGCUUGCAGGGUACUCGAGUGGCGAACGGGUGAGUAACACGUGGGUGAUCUGCCCUGCACUUCGGGAUAAGCCGGGGAAACUGGGUCUACUACCGGAUAGGAGCCAUUUUUAGUGUGAUGGUUGGAAAGUUUUUUCGGUGUAGGAUGCGCUCGCGGCCUCUCAGCUUGUUGGUGGGGUAAUGGCCUACCAAGGCGGCGACGGGUAGCCGGCCUGAGAGGGUGGACGGCCACAUUGGGACUGAGAUACGGCCCAGACUCCUACGGGAGGCAGCAGUGGGGAAUAUUGCACAAUGGGCGCAAGCCUGAUGCAGCGACGCCGCGUGGGGGAUGACGGCCUUCGGGUUGUAAACUCCUUUCGCUAGGGACGAAGCUUUUUGUGACGGUACCUAGAUAAGAAGCACCGGCUAACUACGUG
rnacentral:rRNA from 1 species